UGUAUUGUGCAGGUUGUGUGAUUGCUGUUGUAUACGUUUUGCAAAAGUGAACUUGCUGCUGAAUAUAUUAGUUUUAUGUAGUAGGCCGACUGUGUAAUACUAUUUUCGUGUAUGUUAUAUUGCGAUAAAGUAUAUUGUAUUAUAUUGCGAUAAAUAUUGAAGUGAUACCGGACAGUGGUGGUAAGCAGGUAAUUGAACUGACGCUUGGGAGAGAAGGAGAACCAUGUAUUUGUGUGACCUGCAGGCCAGUUUUUCUGAUGAGAUGGGAAGAUAAUCAUGAAGGCAAGGAUUUCGAAGGAGGCGGCCGUUUUCUGACGCUGCCACUGUGCGACUCACCUGAAGAGACGAAAACCACGAAGAUUCGAUUCGGGAUUGGAGCUCCUUUAUCACUACACCCCCCUGGUGGCUGCUAGUGAUUACCGAGAGGGAAUCAGAAGAACGCUGUCUCCUCUAAAAACUUGUCCCUGUGUGUAUGCACCACGCCAUGAAGACGUAUGGAGGCUUAACUCCAUGCAUUCUUAACUACGGCACUGCAUAGAGCCAGCCGUUCAUCGGAGGACGCUCCAGCGGAACUCCUGCCAUGGAAAACCUGUGUCGAGAUGGCCGGUCGCAGGACCUUCCAGGGGGCGCGCUGACUACUAGCCAGCGGUCCGGCAGACAAAAGAGGAAUUUGUACGACCCCUAGGUUUCCCUAACUUGUGCCAUGGGCUUUAUUGAUAAAGUCGUGUAAUAAUACAACAUAAGAUGAUGAAUGCAGGUCAUCCGUGGUUCCGUGGUCUUCUUCAGCUGUUGGCUUGGUUUUCCUCUGUCUUCAAGCAAAUGCUGAGAUGGUUCCCAAGUUCCAAGUUGCCACUGCAAGCUUCUCAUGCAGCCCUCCCGAUUUAAGUUCAUCAAAAUUUACCCCCUUAAAGUCGUCCAAAUUCCGCUCCGAAAUCACUUAAUAACCUCCAAAUUAAUAACUUCGGCAUUGCCUAAAAUACAGCUCAAAAUUUCUGCCAAUUAUCGCACUAACGUCUUCACUCUUACUUUAUCUUUAACAGAAGGACGAACGGGCAUUGCCUGGGGACCUUCUACCUCCCACCAGAACUCGAAGUGUCUAUUCUAUUCUUUGCAAAUUCUACUCUUCUACCGACCUAACAGCGACUGCCUUAAGCUGUCUACGCGUAACGUUACGCCAGAGAGGACUUUGUACCCGGAGAAAACAAAUGUCUUAAUUACUCACGCUUCAAGGUCUGCGAAACAAAUGCAUGUCACCAUUUGUGUUCACAAACCUUCUUAAAAUGUUACGCCAACAAUUGGUUAAUUGGAUAAUUUUUUCAGCAAUUGUUAUUCUGUUUGCCGAAUUAUAAUAUGGUAAUAAUGACAAAUGAAACAAACAAAGCGAGCAAACAUGGCGCGGUACGGUAAAUAUGUUUUGUUCGUUUGUACGUAUUUGAAUGCGAACGUUAAUGAGUCGCUGGUGAUAAUUACACAGGGGGCCUGCCAUAUGCCACCACUCAGCUGGUUUUACUGUGCCUUCGGUGUGUGCAAUAACUCAGGCGCCAAGGAACACUUUUCCUUCCUUGUGGGAGUUCCCACUUCGAGGCCCCACGAACCCGCGCCAGGUCUUCUUUCAAACUGUCCGUUGUGAAGUGUCGAGCAUUUUUAGUGAGUCUCCCCUAGAAAUCUAUCUUUGUGAUGAAAAUUCCUGAGAUGUGAGCGUCUGGAAUUUCGAGUUCUGUCAGACUUAGUUAGUCACACAUUGAGCGAGAUGCACUUAAAAACAGAGUUAAUGACGUCACUGGAUGGAUGUCGUUGGUUAGACGAGUAUUUGUAGAUUCACUAAGAGUUUAAGGGAUACCUUCUCUAGUUCGACACAAUUGAAGCCUCUCUCACGGUUUUGUUAUGGAUUUUGUAGCUACAGACAGCGUUCGGUGAGUUGAGGGGGAGUGUUUGUGUUGACGGUAUGCAUUAUUCACGUGACACUUCUCAAACACUCGUGCUGUUUGAUGGACAGUGAGAACCUGUCUGCCAACCACCUCAGCUCAUUCUUUCGCGUCUCGGAUGCACGAAAACUGUUUCUAUACAACCAAGCAGGUUAACACAAUGGAAACGUGUCUGACUUCCGUUCGACGCUAGGACACUUCUCUCUCUUAAGGACGUCCACAGCCCGAACUUCUUUUAUCUGUCCUAUAACCAAUCAAAUGACGUUAAGACAGUGCGUAUCGUGGGCUCAAGAAGACUUUGUACAGAUCUAAUUUUCACCGUACAUUACCAUCUGUGAUAUUAACUGGUAUAAAUGAGUGACAUUUAUGUAAGAUUUGAGGUUUUCACAGCGGCGAGUAUGAAGAUUUCUGUCUUCUGGGUUGUUGCGCUGUGUAGUCUGGUCGAU